UAUUUGUUCAGUAUUGUGCUACAGUAAAGCGGGUAAGUAUAGGAUUGUGACGUGAUCCUGAGUCUGGGGAUCCUCUCCCAAUACAUUUUGAGCUGCAGACACUUAUUUACAGUACAAUAUAUUACUUUUCUUUUCAUUGAACUUUUAGUGCCCACACAGCAAACAAGAGGAGGCCAAUCUUCGCCUGUGUGCUGGAGAACAGGGCUUCUGUCUCGUCAACGAUGGGGGCACUGUGAAGCUGGACAGGAGACAUGCCUACUACCAUCAAAUACAGGCUCAGCUCCACCUCGUUGAUGUUGACUACUGCGACUUUGUUGUCUGGACUAAAAAUGACCUCUUUGUAGAGAGAAUUGUGCGUGAUGUGGACCUGUGGGACAACAUCAUUCCCAGAGUUGAGCGUUUCUUCAGACUGUGUUCUCCCUGAAGUGUUGGGACAGCAACUUACAAGGGGAAAGUUUCAGUUGCAAGAUGAUCAGGAGGGAGAGAAGGCGUGAUUACCAGCACCUGUGGUCUGUCCUGGUCCCGGAAGUUGUGGUUCUCUCCUUGUUGCAUUAUUAUUACGUGCCGUAGUGGGUGCUGGUGUUUGGGUGUGUGUGGGUGUCUUUUUCUCUCUCCCUCUGAUCUCCCCAGGUGCUCCCAAUCUCCAAUCAGCGCCUCCAUAUAGGACAUGAGGAAGGUUGCAGUCGCUCUCCCCUUAUCUUAAGCUUUGUUUGACAAGUUGGCUGGUGAGCCCUUUUUCGUUGUGUUAAUUAAAAGACCACUUUAUGGCGUCAGAGAUCA